CGUCACCUUGCUCACUUCACUCUGAAAUGGCUUCAGAAGCAGCCAUUGGCCCACCUUCCUGCAUGCAUCACAAUGUCAAGGUUCUUUGGGGGAAAGGCCUACCUCACAGCAGUGCUGGAGGAUGCUCUUGAUCUCUGCAUUCUGGUAACUGUAGACUGUGUACACCUGAAAAAAAGCAAACCCCAAACUGACCUUUAUCUUGCUGUAGCCCCCGAAACUGCCAUCAUGUCUCUCUUAGUAACACCCCCUAGAAUUUAAUACGCUCGCAGAUAUCCACUGCUCCUGUCACUUUUUCACAAAGUUAGUGUCCUUUGUCUAAAAUGUGUAAAAGUGUCAUAUGGUUGUUUCUUUGAAUUUUUCUUUUGUGAGUAUCCUAGAAAAAUAAUAAAAAUUGCAUAGAUAGAUAGAUAAUACAUACAUAUGUAGAUAAAUACAUGGAUAGAUACAUAGAUAGACACAUAGACAGACAGAUAAAGAUAGAUUUUGGGAAUCAGCCCUUGCUUUCAUCAGGCUCCUCCAGCAUUCACAGGCUUGCAUAUUGUUGUUACACUAGUAAACUCCUAUUGUUAUUUAGAUUUUCACUUAUAGAUUAAAAUUGCUGUUUGGGGGAUGGUCUUAAAAAGAGUGUCGUCAGAGUCUAUGAGAAUCGUCUAUGUCUUCAAGAUUAAAUUCUCUUAGCCUUUUUUUUUUUAAUUUCAAAAGUUAAAAUUCAGGGCUGAGGAGAUGAUGGCUUGGGGGUUGAGAGUGCAAACUAUUCUUGCAGAGGACCUGAGUUCUGAUCCUGGCACCCAUGUUAGACUGCUCACAAAUACCUGGGACUCUAGCUCCAAGUAAUCCAGAGUCUGUCAGGCACCACCUACCCUCACAUGUACAUAUAGACAGACACAUAUACAUAUACAAAUAAAUCAAAAAAACAAAAGUUAAAGUUCUAUUAAGGAUCUAAUUUAGGCUAUGGAACAUAGCACUCAUACUCUUUUUAACCAGUAAAUUCAAGCCCAAUUGUGAUGCACGCACAAACCAGUUGCAUACUAAAUGUCUAAAUAUUUCUGCUUUCCAAAAAACAGUUAACAAAGCUGUGGCCACAUGUCAUCAUGCUUAUGAACUCUUAAACUGUUAUAUCUCCAUGGAUAUACUAAAUACAAAUGCACACAAAAGACAGAAAUGGGAGAGGGGAUAUUAUGGUAGCACCUUAGACUCCUAUCUACAGUUGUAUAGUCGCUAAAAGUUUUCAAAGUUAUUCAUAAAGACCUUUGUGUCAAACUGUGUAAAGAUUUACUGUUUCAAAGGAGCGGACUUCAAAGCUGUAUGUUUUUAACAUCAUUGUUAGCAGGUGAUGCAUUUUACUUAAAAUAACUUUCUCCCUUCCUGAUGGUAUUUGUGAACUCUGCCAACCAGCUUCCUGUGUGACCUUUCAGAGACCUUAGCAGCCGUGACCCUCUCUCCAUUCCCAGUGGCUCCUUACGGCUCUGCUACUCUGCAGAGGCAAGAAGAACACAGACUUCCACUCUGCUCCUUGUAGGGAAUGCUGGUUCACAUUCACUUUGGUCCUCAGAGAAAAGAAGAUGAGAGAGAGAGAGAGAGAGAGAGAGAGAGAGAGAGAGAGAGAGAGAGAUUGAUUUAUAUCUACCUACUACUAAAACACUCAAAAUCUGGGUGCAUGUAGAAUAUAUUUACUUGACUUUUUUUUUUUAUUAACUUGAGUAUUUCUUAUAUACAUUUCAAGUGUUAUUCCCUUUCCCGGUUUCCGGGCAAACAUCCCCCUAAUCCCUCCCCCUCCCCUUCUUUAUGGGUGUUCCCCUCCCCAUCCUCCCCCCCCCCAUUGCCGCCCUCCCCCCAACAGUCUAGUUCACUGGGGGUUCAGUCUUAGCAGGACCAAGGGCUUCCCCUUCCACUGGUGCUCUUACUAGAAUAUUCAUUGCUACCUAUGAGGUCAGAGCCCAGGGUCAGUCCAUGUAUAGUCUUUAGGUAGUGGCUUAGUCCCGGAAGCUCUGGUUGCUUGGCAUUGUUGUACAUAUGGGGUCUCGAGCCCCUUCAAGCUCUUCCAGUUCUUUCUCUGAUUCCUUCAACGAGGGUCCUAUUCUCAGUUCAGUGGUUUUCUGCUGGCAUUCGCCUCUGUAUUUGCUGUAUUCUGGCUGUGUCUCUCAGGAGAGAUAAACAUCCGGCUCCUGUCUGCCUGCACUUCUUUGCUUCAUCUAUCUUGUCUAAUUGGAUGGCUGUAUAUGUGUGGGCCACAUGUGGGGCAGGCUCUGAAUGGGUGCUCCUUCUGUGUCUGUUUUAAUCUUUGCCUCUCUAUUCCCUGCCAUGGGUAUUCUUAUUCCCCUUUUAAAGAAGGAGUGAAGCAUUCACAUUUUGAUCAUCCGUCUUGAGUUUCAUUUGUUCUAGGCAUCUAGGGUAAUUCAAGCAUUUGGGCUAAUAGCCACUUAUCAAUGAGUGCAUACCAUGUGUGUUUUUCUGUGAUUGGGUUACCUCACUUAGGAUGAUAUUUUCCAGUUCCAACCAUUUGCCUACGAGUUUCAUAAAGUCAUUGUUUUUGAUAGCUGAGUAAUAUUCGAUUGUGUAGAUGUACCACAUUUUCUGUAUCCAUUCCUCUGUUGAAGGGCAUCUGGGUUCUUUCCAGCUUCUGGCUAUUAUAAAUAAGGCUGUGAUGAACAUAGUGGAGCACGUGUCUUUUUUAUAUGUUGGGGCAUCUUGUGGGUAUAUGCCCAAGAGAGGUAUAGCUGGAUCCUCAGGCAGUUCAAUGUCCAAUUUUCUAAGGAACAUCCAGACUGAUUUCCAGAAUGGUUGUACCAGUCUGCAAUCCCACCAACAAUGGAGGAGUGUUCCUCUUUCUCCACAUCCUCGCCAGCAUCUGCUGUCAUCUGAGUUUUUGAUCUUAGUCUUUCUCACUGGUGUGAGGUGAAAUCUCAGGGUUGUUUUGAUUUGCAUUUCCCUUAUGACUAAAGAUGUUGAACAUUUCUUUAGGUGUUUCUCAGCCAUUCGGCAUUCCUCAGCUGUGAAUUCUUUGUUUAGCUCUGAACACCAUUUUUUAAUAGGGUUAUUUGUCUCCCUGUGGUCUAACUUCUUGAGUUCUUGGUAUAUUUUGGAUAUAAGGCCUCUAUCUGUUGUAGGAUUGGUAAAGAUCUUUUCCCAAUCUGUUGGUUGCUGUUUUGUCCUAACCACAGUGUCCUUUGCCUUACAGAAGCUUUGCAGUUUUAUGAGAUCCCAUUUGUCGAUUCUUGAUCUUAGAGCAUAAGCCAUUGGUGUUUUGUUCAGGAAAUUUUUUCCUUACUUGACUUUUUAAAUAGUCCUUAUAACACUAAGAGUCAUACUUCGGAAUAGUGGGAAGUUGGAUAAAAGCUCUUCUGUUUUUGUUUGUUUGGGUUUUGUUUUUUUUUUUUUUUUGUUAUUUUUGUGGUUUGUUGUUAUCUGAGAAGAGAUUUGUUUAUUCUUGUAAUUUCUCCACCCAGAAUACAAACUACCCUUUGUGUGAGACAUUAGUCUUUGUCCAAAGUAUAAACUGAGUUUAUAACCUCAUUAAACACAGGAUUAAAAGUUGUACACUUUAGAAAACAAAGGUUAGGGGACUGGAGACAUGGCUUAGUGAUUAAGGGCAUGAAGACCCUUGCUACUCUUACAGUGGACCUGGGUUCACCCACAUGGCAGUUGAUGACUACCUAUCACUCUGCUGCCACAUGAUCCAAAGCUCUCUUCUGGCCUUCCCAGGCUCCUAUGUGUAUAUGGUGCAUGUAAGCUCCUGCAGGUAUACAUGCAUACGUCAUACAUAAUGAGGAUGAAGGAAGUGGCGUCAUUCUUACAGAAGGAGAACACUGCAGGAAGAGGGUCGAUCAAGCAGCGAACCACCGUGCACAAUGCAGCGCUUCACUUUCUUCUGAAAGGACAGGAUGAGGCAAGCCAGCAAGCCAUGAGCUUUCCCUUCCAGAUCUUGCCAUGGUGGAAAACUGCCUUAAAACCUGAACACUGUAAGGGGGCCCACUCCUUGUGAGCUACGAAUCUUCAACACAUGCCACCCAGACACUAAGAGCCCAUCCUGCUUCUCAAUGAGGCUCACUCAGGUCAGGGGUUUAGAAGGCAGAGAAACUUCAGGUCACAGUGCCCUGUUGCUCUCAGAUCUCGUACACUCAGUAGAGUCUGUGUGUAUAGAAGCCAGACAUAGAGAACAACAGACGACUAAACAAGGAGGUUCAUGCUCUUGUCAGUACCAUCUGCCCCUUGCUUCCACCCUUUAAGCCACUAGUGUCCUUCCAAACACUGUUUGAGUGGGCCCCACUCGGAAGACUCCCCAUCGCCAGCGUCCCAGCCUCCCUUCAGACUUGAACUAUUCCCGUCUAGGAAUAAUUCUGUCGGAAGAUUUUCUAAACAUGGUUCACUUGACACCUCAGCUGGCUGGAGUAGUUCUAAUUAAACAGAAAGGAUUUGAGAUCAUUAACUUGAGAUGGUUUAAUUGGCUUGGGUGGAACCAGAGUCUGCAUGUCUAGCAUGCUCCUGGGUGACAUGGGUGAUACAGAUGAUGCAGGAGGACUUGCAAAGCAAGGAUGCAGAACCCUCCUGGGAUAGACUACAGGCCUCUGCCUUUAACAGAGAAUCAGAAGAAAAUGUGGAUGUAUUAGUUGAAGAUAGCUAGGCAAACUAAGCAUAUCCCACAACCAGGUAAAACCCUUAUGACAAAAAGGCUUAGCAGUAGCAGGAAGGAAGGGCUUACUCUGCCUGCGUACAGUUUGAAAGGGUACGUACGGUCCAUCCUGACAGGAAAGUCAGAGCUGGCAUAAGGCAGUUGGUCACCCUUUCCCAUCAAUAGUCGGAAGGAAGUGUUCCCACUUUCUUCGUUUCCUUCAGUCUGUGUCGUCAGACUUUGGAACAGUGCUGGCCACAUUCAGGGUGGGUCUUCCCGAAAACUCUCUUGCAGACACGUUCAGAGAUCACGUCCUAGUGAUUCCAAAUCCAUUUGAGUUGACAUUAGUGAUUAACUAUCAGUGAUGGGGUCGUCCUGGUAUCCAUGAAUACGUCCCUCUACGAGAGAUGUUGAAGGCCGUCUCGGUCUAUAGGGGCCGCUCUGAAAUAGGAUUGUUUGUAAAUAGUGUCAAUUUACACUGUCCCUCUUAUGGAGGCCAAGAGGUCUAAGAUGAAGGUUCCGACAGGUUCAGUGAUAGUAAAGGGUCUCGUGUUUGUUUCCGCGAUGACAUUGCAAACAUCGCUUCCUCUGUAGGAAAGUCACACUGCACCCUUGCAUGGCAGGAAAGAAGGAAGGGAGAUAAGGGUGGCUACCCUCUAUGCUACCCUCACUUGGCUCCUAGACAAACUCUAGUGGAUCAAGGUUAUCCUUGAACUUACAACCUUCCUGCCUCCACUUUUCAAAUGCUGGGAUGGCAGACAUCUGAAACCAUGCCGGGUUCAUAUGGUGCUGGGUUGGCACCUCAGGCUUCAUUCGCAUUAGGCAAAGCACUUUACCAAUUGAGCUAUAGCCCCCACCCCUCUCUCAGCCCCUUUAUAAGAUCACUAGCAUCAUUUAUGAAGGCUCUGGCCUCAGAAUUUACUGCUUAUCUCUUAAUAUGUCACAUGGAUUUUGGAGGAUACACGGACAUUUGAGACAUAAUAAAGCUGUAACCCUGGUAGCUGUGAAUGGGAACCUCACUUGGAAACCUGACCUCUGGCGAUGUAACUACAUUAGGAUAAGGUCAUACUGGAUUGGGUGGGCCCCUCGUUUAACCUAAUUGGCCUCAUUUUGUUGUUGGUGGUGGUGAUGAUGGUGUUUCGGUUAUUCUGUUGCUUUGAAAGGGCCACAGUGUGGCUCAUUUUAAUGCUUCCUUAUACUUCUUCUCCAUCUUUGCUGUACUCCUCGGUAGUGAACUUGAAAAGCGGCAUUCUUAUUAGGAGAGACUUGAGAUGCAGAAAGAUACAAAGGACAGGAGGAAGACAACAUGGCCUCGAGACACAGACUGAAAUGCAGCACCCACGAGAUUCAGUGGCAAACACUAGAAGCUAAGAAAGCGACUAAGAAGGUGUGUCCUACAGAACCUUUAGGACAGCUGGCUCCUCCGGGGCCUUAGUUUCUCCGGCCUCACUUCCAAAACUGAGACGAUCUACUCUGCUGUUUUUGGCUGCUCCCUUGGUCUGUGGCUUCUAUUGGAGAACCCUGGGGCUCACACCAACUGCCCUGAGAAAUGGGGUACGAGCAGCAGGAAGCUGUAAGUGGCCCUCUAGGAAAAACAUCCCUAGAAAUGGGGAGUAUACCAGACCAACAAUGUCACAAGAAACAGAAUACCCUCUUGUCUGGGAGGAUGCAUGUGCAAAUGCACUGAUAACACAGUUCAGAGGUCAUCACAAAGGAGCCUACGCCUCACUACAAAACCCUAUUCACAUUGGGUUGGCACAGAGAUCAUUAAAAGAGGCCAACAAGCGGUCCAUCAAGUAAGCGAAGGAUCGAACAAUACCUCCUUCGGGAUCUUCAGAAUCCUAGGCAAAGGGUUAAAGAAAAGGGGAUGCUUGCCCCUCUCCCUCCCUCUGUAUCUCCAUCUAGCUGGUCUGACACAUAGUCUCCAGCCAUAACUUGCAAGCACUCCUCAGGCAAUCCCAUAUCCAGCCAGGGUUGAGAAUUGCUGUUAAAGAUCUGAGCCUUCAGAGAGAAAGUCAGCCUAGGAGCCACCGUCCGUGAGUAUACCUUGAUUGUGCGCUCAGGGCCUGAAGUAAGCAACAUUGUGCAGGUUGAGGUUGGCAGUUCCAAUGUCUAGAUGGCUAAGUGCCAGCCCUGAUGCAAAUUCCUCCCUGGUCUGUGAGUACAGACUUUUCCAUGGUUAGUUUUCCAUAGUGGUAGUAGUUUACUCGACUGCUGCCCUAUCCCUCUGCCUGCUUUAAGGACUUGCAUUGUCAAUUGUCCCGUGCCUGAAGACAGCUGUGUUUAUUGUGCCCAACCAUUGACCUGCUUACCAUGGGUAGACAGUCUAGGCAAAGCGCCACAAUUUGGGGUGGCUUAAGGCAAUAGACACUCAUUCUUUCAUACUUCUGAAGGCCAGAAGGAUCAAAUCAAGAUAUGAGAAGGGUGACUUCCUUCUUGGGGAUUCUGAGCACAUCAUGAGUCUACCCCCCUCUGUCCCCUGCAUUCUGAUAACCGCUCCUUAGCAUUCCAACUUCAUAAUGCCAAGCUCUGUCCCUGCUUCUGCAUGGUCACCUUUCCUCUGUGUCUGUCCCUGUGUCCCUUUUCCUCUUCAUCAAAGGACACCAGUCAGACUGGAUUAAGAGUCCACCCUCUUCCAGAAUGAUAUCAUCUAAGCUAAUUACAUCUAUCUGCAACAACCCUACUUCUAAAUAUGGUCACAUUCUGAGGUUCCAGGAAAGUCUUGUGUUUGAGGGUAAUACUGUGCAACCCAGGACAGUGGGUCACUGUGGUACUACUGUUCCAAAACAGAAAUUUUUACUUAAACUGCAAACUCCUAGCCAGAGGGUUGGUUUUUAUUUAUUUGGCGAGGGGGCUUUUUACAAUACUCAAAACCAAAGCAAUUUAGUAGUUUGAGAUGAGUUAGGGUCAUAUAGUAAAAAUAGCCCAGUGUUCUGUAAGUGCAGGUUCCAGGACUCACAUGAUGGGGGUGGGAGGAGCAUAGUUUCAGGAGCUGCAGACUAGGAACCUGGAUUGUCGGGGGCUCCUUGGACUGGUGACCUCCCAUCUUAUCUGCAUACUGAAAGACAGUUACUACAUGGCACAGGGGUUCUUGGGUUCUUUGCAUUAAGGAGCUGAGUUCAGUUAUUACAGGAGAUACUAAGUCAUAGAUCUCAGAGAAACAGCCAGUCACGUGUAUGGAGACAUACAGAAAGAGAUGAACUUGAUGGAAUGGGUUUAUGGGAUCACAGAGAGGCUGGCAAUCUUCCAAGUGGGCUGGCAGGCUAGAGACCAGGGAAGACUUGAUGCUACAGCUCCAGGCAGAAGGCAGACUGUCCAGAGACUCCCUUAGUCCUCAGGGGUAGGGUGGGGUGGGGGUCUGUUUCUUGGUCUGAGUUUCUUAUACCAGGAUAAUACCCCCCCCCCAGAACUCCCCAUAAACUCAAUGAAAGACAGCAAUUUGCUUUAUACCAAACCCUCCAAUUCUAAUGUCAAUCUCACUUCUUUCAUAAGUGUCCUAAAUAACACUUGACCAUGUAUCUGGGUACUACUCCUCAGCCACACUGGCAUACCAGUUCACCCAUUACAUGAGCUCUCAGAGAAUCCAGCACUGGAAGAGACUUAGGAUAAGGAGAGCAAGAGACAGGAGAGAUGAAUCCCUCUGGACUUUAUAAAGUUAAGAGUCUAGCCCUGAGCACAAGUCUUGGAAGUCUCUAUGGAGACACAGCUUAUCAGGUCCCAUCAGGAAUCAGUAAACCUGGGUCUGACUGGGGCUUCUGUGGAACAGAUCUAUUCCUUCUGUUGCAUUUAUUCAUUCUAAGUAUUGUGUAACAAUUUCCUAAGCAUAUCGUGAAUGUAGACAUACUUAGUAAAUGCCCGCAAUACAUUUUCUACAAAAGCAAAUAAUUAUCUACCAACGUCAGGUUGAAGCCCGCUAUGUAAAUUCUAGACAACAAUGUGCGCGUGCUUACACUAGAAACAUCCGUGUCCAUGUGCAAAGCAGAGAGUAGUGUCAUGUUAGCCUUUCUCUGUGUCCUCACUCACAGUGUCUAAUUCUGGACCUGGUGCAGUAAGAUGGGCUUAAUACAUCACAGCAGCCAGGGGACUACCACAACUGUUCCAAAGUAAAAGAGAGGGAAAGAUGCUUGGGGAGGCUGGCUGCAGGUGACAUUUGUGCAAGACAAAAAGAGUUCAUUAACCUGAGAUCUCAAAGAUGUCAUUAAGAAAGAGGAUGGGCAACUCAAAUGUUCUGAGUGACCGGGUGAAAGAAGAUUAGGCACUAAAGACUCUCCAAGGCCUGUCUGCACUUUGAUCCCUAACGGCCCCCAAGUUAGACUCUGUGUCCUAAUUGUAGAUGUUCAGUAUAAUGCAAACUGCCACAGCAAGAGGGCAGAUUUGGGUGAUUCCAGAGAGACAGGGUUCUCUAGAGAGAGGAUGUCCACCAAGGCUGAGCCCAGGAGUCCCAACCCCUUGCCCACUGAAAACACUAAGAUCUCAGGCUUAGAGGCGAAGUUUUAUUCUCCCUUAACAAUCUCAUCCCACCCAUCCCCACAUUCCCUCUGGGUGCUCAGGAUCACGUGAGCCAAGGGUGUCUGGUAUUAUCAGUGUUUCAGACAAAACUUCCCCGGGUCCCCUGCUGCCUGCCAAGCCUGCGAGUCUAUCAGAGCAGGUCAUCCGUUGUUUAUGAGCUGGCUGGAUGCCUGGGCCACACGAGCACAGCUGUGUGGGAGGCUUAGCAGAUUCCUCCGCUCGGGUUCUGGGUUUGUUCCCUUUUCCUCUUGGAAAACAAGAAACCUAGGUGCUUCUAGCAUGAAGUCAAUAGCUGCUGUUAAUCUACGAAACUAGACAUGACACAUCUGUGGGAAGGAAGACAGUCCCUGCUUUCUAAUACGGUAUCCCCUUUGCCCAUGUUUCCUUCCUUAGUCUGAGUCCCAUGGGGAGCCCAGUCACCCAUUCUGCCAUGUCCUGGUGCACAUGUUCACAAAGCUAAAUCCCUUCCUGUGCAAAGCCCGGGACCAGGGUCAGCUGCCCAUCACUAUCAGGCCUUCAUAUCAAUGACCUCAUCUCCUAGUAAUAAUAAUAGCCAAUCCCUCUUGAAAGCAGCAGGCAAAGCAGCCCUCUCCCUUUAUGGAGUGCCUUUUAGGUGCUUUAAAAUAGGAUUGGUUAUUGGGUAGAUAGAUAGAUAGAUAGAUAGAUAGAUAGAUAGAUAGAUAGAUAGAUAGAUAGAUAGAUGAUAGAUAGAUGAUAAAUAAAUAGAUAGAUAGAUAGAUAGACAGACAGACAGAUAGAAAUAAAAACAUGCUGGGUGUAAGAAAGAAAGGUCCUGGGUUGAAUCCUAGUACCCACAACACAAACCCAUUGUCAACAUAGGAGCUUAAGACAGGGAGCAAUUAGGAUUUUCUUGCUUCACCUUAAACAUGCGUGCAGGGGUAUCUAGAUGAUGCCAGCAGUGAAUUUAAAAACUGCGUGUUCGAGAAUGCUAACGACUGUGACUAGUGUUCCUCCCCUCCUUAUUUCUGGACAUUUCACAACCUCACUUUCCAGAUGUCUGUCGUUCACUUGCUGCAUGCAUGGCUGUGCACUGGUCAUGGAGGGAAAGGUCAGAGCUGGGAUAAGCAGGCACACAUAGUGAUAGCCUCAGUCAGUGGCCUCUGAAAUGUGCUUGGCCAGACUCUGCAUCCAUAGGAUCCAGCUCCAGUCCCCUGCUCUCUGGGGUCCUCAGCUUCUCCAGGCAGCUAACCUUUUUGUUUCGAAAUGCCAGGUUUCAUACCCCAGGAAUCCAGUUCAUUACUUCAUUAAUGACACAAUGCUUCUGUCGGUGUUUUAUUGGUCCCUUCAGCCUGGCUGCAGGGUUGGUGGUGGGUGGUGGUGGUUUUUGUUUUUCAGUUGUUUUGUUUUUGAAGGGGAUAAGUAAGCAAUCCCACUUUCUUUGCAUUCUUGCGCACGAGUAGCACGAGUAGCACGUGGGAAGACACAGCAGCCCUCAAUAGUGCCCUGGGCUUAGACCAUGAGAUUUGCGCUUGCUGCGAACCAUAGAGUCAGUUCCUGUUUAGCCCUCCAGGAGUUCAGACAGAAGGCGGGAACUAUGUUGAAAUCUUAGUUAGCAUUCCAAAAGGAGGCCGACCCAAGCAAGCCUGCUCUGACAUUAUCGAUACCCUUUCCAUAAUUCUACAUAAGUAUUCUCUUAAAAGUCAAAGCCCUAAGAGGAGCCAUUUCCACAUUUACGAAUUAAAAGGAGUCACAAUCAUGUAGGUGUGGGCAGCGUCCUUUAAGGGCUGGUGGAAGCAGGUCCUUAAAUUGUCCCGUGUCUUCACAUACACAGCCAUUAGAAACUGCUGCAUCAGGGCCGCUCUCCCAGGCUUCACCUACACAGCUCUCAGAAACUGCUGCAUCAGGGCCGCUCUCCCAGGCUUUAGGUUCUGAGCAUUGGUGAUUUUUACUGAGGUAUCUGAGUUUUGUCUCAUUGAAUCAACAUGGCAUCUUUCAAGCUGCAGAUUCUUGCCGACAAAACCAGAGAUCUUUCACCCUGGAGAGUCCCGUGUCCCCUGGGUCUCCUGAAUUUACUAAAAGCGUACUGUAUUUUUAUGCCCCCGUUAACUACAGAAGAGUGGUUCUUUGGAAAUCUGAGACAGCCUUCUUUUAAUGAGAAGACAACUGAGGCAAUCAAAAGGCUUAACUUCCAAAACUCUUAUCUCUGCAGGUUUCCUUUCUUAGAUUGAGUCCCACAGGGCGCCCUGUUGCCUGGGGAAUGCCUUAGUUCUACUGGAAGCAUUUCUUUUGUGGUCCUGGGCCUGUCUGUGCAGCCAAGAGUAAGUCUCUGGUCCACUAGCACUUUUUUUUACUAAAUGGACGGAAAGAAGAGCAACUCCACCUCCCUUGCUCUUGCGUGGUUUAGUGGAGUUCGUUAUUUUGAGAUGGUUUCUCACACUAUAGCUUGCCAAGAAUUCACUUUAUGAUCCAAGCUUCCGUCGCACUCAUAGCAAUCCUCCUGCCUCAGCCUCCCAAGGGCUGCCUUUAAAAGUGUGUGCAACCAGGCCUGGCUUUGUACAUGUUUUGAGUUGAGUAAGACUUGGAAGGGAUGUCUUGAAUCCUAGAAAUCUGGUAUUUAAGUGCUCCACACAGACCACUACUGGCAGGAACGGAGCCAUGUUUAACGUUUUACUGCUAUUCAAACUUCAUCCCUAGGGGCUCAGUUUCCCUUGACUGGAGCAACCUCAGACUAGCCCAGGUUUCUGUAGGUAUAGCCUAGUGGAUGACUUGCAGAGAUGGUGACUCCCUGCAGAGAACAAGCCUUUUGGGGUAGGGGACAAGCAGGAUAUUAAGAGCAUCCAUUCUGCCCAGUCUUGGUGGAAAUUGAAGCCCACUGUGUUCUGGUGUCCUAGGCAGUAGCAUGCAUACACUUAAAUCCCUAUUAACUCCCUCCACUUUGGAUUGGUUACCUUUAUAUCACUGUAAGAGAGAUACCUACAAGAAAUAACUCGAGUUAAUUUUGGUUCAGGAUUUCAGAUAGCAUAAUCUAUCAUAUCAAGGAAGAUAUGGAAGCCUGUGUGACAACAGGAGUCUGUGGUGUAGACACACUUAUCUAAGUCAUAACUAUCUAAGGCCAGCUACCAAUAACCUACUUCCAGCACUCAGACCUCACCUCCUAAAGAUUCCAACAUCCUGCCGACAUAGUGCCACCAGUCAGAGGCAUGAGCCUGAGGUGACGCUUCAGAUUCAAACCGUAACAUCAUCCCUCAAUAACUUAUUACACUUUCCUAUACUCUCUGCUCUCAAACCCUAAAAUCAAGUCAGGGUGUUCUUGACCCCUCCAGUAAUACGUUUAAACAGGAUACAUGGUCAGUUUCUCUUUCUUUCUUUCUUUCUUUCUUUCUUUCUUUCUUUCUUUCUCUCUUUCUUUCUCCUCCUCCCCUCUCUUUCUUUUUUUUUAACUCAUAGCUAAGUGUUAAAUAUUUUCCCUAAUUCCAUGUUUUUUUCUCUUGGCCUCAGUUGGAGGUAGAGGGUCACAUAAGAGGACCAGCUUUCCUUACUCCAUUUUGCAAAUUUAUAGCUUAUAAAAAAAACUUUUAUUAUUUAUAACCUUUAAAAAAUAUAUAUCAUCAGGUCCAAGAUAAGAUGUAAUGUGUUGGGCUGGAGAGAUGGCUCAGUGGUUAAGAGCACUGACUGCUCUUCCGGAGGUCCUGAGUUCAAAUCCCAGCAACCAUAUGGUGGCUCAUAACCAUCUGUAAUGAGAUCUGAUGCCCUCUCCUGGUGUGUCUGAAGACAGCUACAGUGUCUUUAAUAUAUAUAUAUAUUACUUAAUAUAUAUAUAUACUUAUAAAAAAUAAAUUUAAAAUAAGAUGUAAUGUGUUUCCGCAAAGUUCUUGAGCAUUUCAAGGUAAUUUUAGCCACAGGAAAAGCUAUGGUUUGAGUUGUUCUAGAAGCAUCACAAGAAAGCCAGGAGAGACGACCCUAGCGCACAGCUCUCUCCAGCACUCACGCUGUGCCCUGCCUAUGACUGUAAUCACAGUCAGCCUUCUGUGGUGACAGAAGACAGUGGGCACAGACUUUUCAUUUUAAAUGCAUGGGCACUGUCAACACCGAAGAGAAGCAAAGGCAGCUGAGCGUCGAGGCAGUGAGGAGGCAGACGCAUUCUAACAUGUCCUAGGUCUUCCGUCUUGUCUGCUGGCCCCUCGCUAGAAGUUGCAAAGUGCCACCAAAGAUGCAGAGAGGAGAAGACAGAUCUUUCUAUAUCUUAGCAUCACUAGUCGGAGUUUCUGGUUCAAUGUAUAAACAAUCAUAAAAGGCACAAUACAUGUAAGGAAGUCAGUAUUAUCCCUGGUACACCAGGCGGCAUCCAAAGGUUGGUGGUUAUAUUGGUGACUCCAGCAAGCGUCCAAGAAGUGGUGGCAAUUACUGUUAUUAUUACGUCUCUCUUACCCAGAUACUUAUCAAACUGCCCCGGAGAUUUGGGUGAAGAUAUUGGUCAUCCGAUGCUGCUCUUGUAAACAUAUAGAAUAAUAAAUUCAUAUAUAACACCUGAUAAUUACAUUAGCAUGCUAUUCUGUGUCAAUACAGUUCUAUUAUUUAUACCAGCUAACCAUUUCUGUUAUUGUGUAAUUAUGAAUAUGUCGUGUGUAAGGAUACAAAAACAUAAAUAAUAUAAAUCCAUUUAAUCUUUUAAAAGCUUUUCACAGCGUUAUACAAUAAUGAUCACAUGUGUGGGGCAAAGUGAGCCAUGCAGCCCAGGGAGCUGGCCUGGAGUAAGAGUGAGGUUGAGACAUGUCUGAACCCUGAAAAUCUCAUCUUCAGACUGGCAGAAGUAAGAAUUGCUCCUCCUGGCUCUGGACCUGCAUGGUACACAUAUCCUUGAGACCUCCACCUCCACCCCUCCCUUGAGGUACUCACGUAGCCUGAUAGCCAAAUUACAAGUUUAACUUCCUCUUUCCUUAGAAGGACAUGCCCAGAGAGCACAUGAAAUUCCUCUUCAUGCAAACGAAGCGUUUCUAGCACCUCAACCCCAGCCAAUGAUGUACACUCACCUACAAACCCCACUCACUCUCCAUGGUCUAUAUAGCUCUUGUUACCCCCAAAUAAAGUUAACCUGAACACCAAAAACCGUCUCGAAGAAGGCUUCUUCCCCUCCCCCACCUCAGUGUGAGCUACUGGGACAUUAAGAAUAGAAUUCUGGAUCGAUUUACUUUAUGUGGACGACUGUCUUGCCUGAAUGUAUGCGAGCAUACGACGUGUUCUAGAAGUCCAGAAGAGGCAUUGGAACUCCAGAGUUACAGACGGUCGUGAGCUAUCAUGUAGGUGCAGAGAGCAGAACUCAGGUCCUUUGGAAGAACAGCCAGUACUAUUCUGUGUGUGCUUGCCUCUCCAGCCCCCACAUGGACAUUUAAAAAUGUUAGAACCAGUAAACUGGCACAGUGGGUGAAAGUGCUUGUCUUGAGUUCUGACACCUGAACCCAUAUUUAAAAAAUUAAAUAAGGGGCUGGGGAGAUGGCUCAGCGGUUAAGAGCACUGACUGCUCUUCUAGAGGUCCUGAGUUCAAUUCCCAGCAACCACAUGGUGGCUCACAACCAUCUGUAAUGAGAUCUGAUACCUUCUUCUGGUGUGUCUGAGGACGGAUACAGUGUACUCAUAUAUAAUAAGUAAAUAAAUUUUUAAAGAAUAAGAAGCUGCAUGCAUCUAUAAUCUUACAGAAAUCUCUUACAGAAAGAUGGGAGUUGGAGACAGGAGAAUCAGCUGGAAACGCCCAGACCCUCCAGCUUAUAUACUACAGCAGGAAAGACAUAAGUCAGACCUCAGUCAGCAAGGUGGAAGAACAGAGUUAACCUCUGAAAACUGUCCUCUGAACUCCACAUAUAGGCAGUGGUACACAAUCAUCCAUGUUCCCUCUCCCCCCCCCUCCUCUUCCCUCCCCUUCCCCUCCCCCUCUCCUCCCUCUUCUCCUCCCUCUUCUCCUCCUCCCCCUUCCUCUCUUCUCUCUCUCUCUCUCUCUCUCUCUCUCUCUCUCUCUCUCUCUCUCUCACACACACACACACACACAAUAAAUAAAUAAUAAGUAAAUAAAUAAAUCGGGGGUGUGUGAAACGGACUCUCCCUUUGUAAUAUUUGCUGUCCUGGAACUCACUGUGUAGAACAGGCUGUCCUUAAACUCAUAGAGAUAAACUUGCCCCUGCCUCCCAAGUUCUAACAUUAAAGGCACAUGCCACCACACCCACCAUAAAAUAAUAAUUAAAGAAUAUUUUUCUAGAAUAAAAUUUUGUUUUUUAGGAACCUAUGGUGAAUAGAUUUGCCCCUCAUAGACUCCUGGGUUUGAAUGCUUGACCCACAGGGAGUGGCACUAUUAGGAGCUGUGGACUUGUUCGAGUAGGUGUGGUCAUGUUAGAAGAAGUGUGUCACUGAGUAGGCUGGCUUUGAGGGCUUCUAGUGCUCCAGCUAUGCCCAUUGCAGAUGAGAGCCUCCUCCUGGCUACCUUCAGGUCAAGAUAUAGAACCCUCAGCUCCUUCUCCAGCACCAUGGCUGACUGCACACUGCCAUGCUUCCUGCUAUGAUGAGGAUGGACUGACUAAACCUCUGAAACUGUAAGCCAGUCCCAGCUAAAAGUUUUACUUUAUAAGAGUUGUCUUGGUCAUGGUGUCCCUUCAUAGCAAUAAAAUCCUAAAACAGAACCAUACUAAAUAGAUAAAAAUAGAUAGGUGAAAUUAAUUUUAUCGGUCUUUUGGUUAGUCAAAAUGACCAAAAAUACAUAAAUUCAAUGUGUAAUCAAUAUACAGUUAUUAAUGGCAUUUUGAUUUUUAUACUAUCUUUACAAAAACCAGCAUAUUUUGCUUACUCAGCAUGUUUUGGGUCUGGUCCAUGCCAUUUCAAAUGUGCAAUAGCCACAUAUGGCUUCUGGUUCCCAUAUUGGACAGCCCAGUUCCAGUUGACUAAUUAUGACUGAAAUUGAUAAUUAUGUGAAACAUUGCAGCUAUUUCUAUUGCCACGGUUGCCAGGAAACCCAAAUUACAGAAAAUUUCUCAUCCUGAGUUUCUUUAAAUUUUCUUGCCCCCACCCCAUCCCCUGCUAAGUGGAUUUAAAACAUCUUGGUUGGCUAUGUCCUUUGAAUGAUAAUUCCAACAAUAAUAGCCUUCUGUUGACAAUAGCAAGCUGUCCAUCACUCACUUUGUACCAGGCACAGUUUGGUGUGACUUCUAUGUAUCUCACAGAAAGACCAGACCUUAGGCUAGAGGCCAGGUCAGAUUCCACAGCCCUCACUCUUACCUUCUAAAACCUGUGAAGUCCCUGGGUACCACUUUGUCCCAGGAGCUUCCCACCCUCUCCAUCUGGUCAACCUUGGAGCACACCUGCAAUUCAGUGAUGUCACUCCCACUGUUCAGGUCAGGGCUGAGCUCAGAGGUCAUGUUGCUUAAUCAAGGUAUAGAUAAUAACAUCAGAGCCGUGGUGUGAAUGCAGCUGCUAAGCCGGAUCACAACCCUGCACACUGUAUUUCAAUCAACUUUGAAAGAGAAAAAUCCCCUUUGGAGAUUAACAUGUUACAAUGUUAUGAAUCGCCUCACUAUACUCUAAGCUCUCUUUGUGAGCUGGACACUGCCUCAAUGCUCGGGAGGGCUGGGUGGGAAAGACAGAAUUUCGGAGCUUUGGGAGCUCACUGUGGAAGAGAGAAAGGAAGGAAAAGCUUACUCGAGUGACUGUAUGUGGCAGGUGAUAGACAGAUGAUUUGUAAUAAACAUAUCUGAUCACAUCAAUUAGGAAAAAUAGAGUUGAGCAGUUAGAACUCUGUGUGUGCAGACAAAUGGGCCGACAUUCACUCCCAUUGAGAUCAUUCAUCCUCAAAUGGACCAUAUGUCUCUAUAUUGCCUGUGUUUGUUCCCAUCUGUUUUGCAAAAGGCAAAAUGCCCUGAAAAGAGAACCCCACUGCCUCAGUACAAACUGAGCCUCAGUGUAAUAAGCUGAGUUGUCCCAGUGCCUUCUACAGUUCACGAAAGAGAGUUCACAGGUGAUAGCUCUAAUGUGUGCCAGGGGCCUACAAAUGCAAGCCGUCCUAAGUUUGGCGUGCUCAAUAUGCUACUAACAUAUGUGCAAGCAAAUGGCAGUCUCGUUUUGUUUGGUGCUGUCAUAUCCAUAUUCUCUCCAGUGCCUGAGCUUGGCUGACUCCAAUAGCAAAUGAAAAUGUUGCCCUGUGUGAUCAUUACAUUUUUAUUUGUAUGACAUCUUUUGUCACAGGCUGGUAAUGAUCCGAUGGCCACAGGGAGAAACAGGCAGGAAGAGAGAGAAAUAAUUCACACAGGAUCAUCCAUCUAAACUCAGCGGAGUGUUGUUGGUCCACUGACUCUCUAUUCUCCAUGCCAAGAUGAGAUCUAACAUAACACAGUUUGAAGCCUAACUUUUAUGUGACAUCAUAUUUGCUAUGCAGUUGUGUUCAUUCCUCUGGGAAAUGGCCAUGUUCAAGAGAUUUGGGCAGGAGAAUCCGUUUUCCCAGAGAAGCAUGUGUUUCUGUGUGCUUGGUAAUGAUGCUUUUCUACACAAGUCCAAAAGAGUAUUGCUCCUAAAAUGCAGGGAAAGUGGGGCUCCUCGCAGGACCCAAGACAUGGAAAUACAACCUGAGCUAGAAGGCAGAUCACCAGCCCCUACCCCACAGCCAAAUUGAGUGGCCUUGACCUACUGAGCUGCCACCCAAGCAAUUACUAAUCCCCAUUCCCAACAGAGGUCACCGACUUGGCCCAACUGUCCUUUUAGCACCCAUGUCCCUAGUCAGACUUUGGAUCUGUUUUGUGUGGGGAAAAUGCACAACUCUGACCAAUGGGGCAUGACUUGAGGGCUGGGUAAGGCGAGGAACAAUGUACCACACAUGUCUACCCAUCCAAAGGAGAGGCCGAGCGGGAAAUUAUUCCUAAAACCUUACUAUUCCUGAUACUUGAAGGCCUGUCUCAUGCUACACAAGGACAGAAAUCAAACAAUGCAGAACCAACAAAGAAACAUCUAGAAACCAGAUGUCAUGUCCGUAACUGAGAAAAGAAAUAAGAUAAAUUCAGCAGGAAAAAAAUUUUUACACUUUAGAUAUAUUGCACCAAGCACUACUGUGUAAGCAUUUUAUAUGUACAGCUUUACCGAAGUCUUCCAAAUUUCUGCCAAGUGCCAUUGCCCUGGUGUUAUUUAUACACCCUAAGGUUUGGGGGUAUUUCUAAUAUGGGAGUAUAGCCCAAAGUCACAUAGCCAAUGAAUGGUAGACUCAAGUUCUGAAUCCAUGUGCACUUGAGUCCACUGUAUGCACUUUACAACUAUAAAACAUGAGAAACCAGAAGGAUAAAUAUUGACAUCACUCUACCUGCUACGAAGUGAGAGCAUAGAUUUAGUUCCCUGCAUACCUCUGGCUAUGGCUGCACUUUGCCCCGAGUAACAUGCAUGAAUAAAGGGCGAAGGAUGCAUUUGGAAGUGUUAUAAAAUCAUUAACUAUAAGUCACUGGAUUAUAACACUGUGCGUACUUGCUUCUUGGAAAAGGACCAAGCUCUUCAAGUCGUUCAUAUUAGCUUACCAUAGAAAUGGUUCUUUUAGCACAAAUACAAGUUAAUCCAGCAGCCAACUGAACCAGCUUGUUACCGUAACUCUUGUCCAUAAUGCCUUUUGCGCUGAGCUUAAGGAACCAGACGUGGUGACCCAACUGCACUUUGUUUCAGAAGUACUCACAGAAGUUUACAUUAUCAUGAUAUUUAAGUCACAUUAGCAAAAUGUGUCCAGCCCAGUGUCCACGCACACCCGAACGGAUGGAGAAAGUGUUGCAUGUAUACACCAUGAUGGUUUUAUUCAGUCUCGCAAAAGAAUGAAACUGUCAUUUUGGUGGAAAACGAGAAUGAGAGGUUAUCACGUUAAGGGAAAUAAGCCACCCUCAGACAGACAGACACCAGGUUUCACUCACUUGUGAAGCGUAGAUUUUAGAUAGGUACAUCAAACUAGAGAGGAGAGAUACAGAGAGAGCGUGUGGGGGCGAAUGUAGUCAAAGUACAUUAUAUACUUGAAAGAAAUUGUUUUCAUUAAACCCAGACUAGGGUACAAUGGAUAUAUUCCACUAGCAAAUAUAAAUUAAAAGUCAUAAUUAGUUUUUUUAUUGUAAAGAAAAUAGGCCCAGAAGAGUGAGUGCCAGAUGUAAUAGGAAGUCUGGUGUCUGCCUGCUGGUGCUCACUGCAAUAGGCCUAAUUCCUCCAUCUUGAGAGAGAUGGGAAGAGAAAUAAUUGCUGAUCAUUUCUUCAUCCCCUUAAAACUAACAUUAUCUGAUUGAGGCAGAAACGCAUUGCCCUCAGCCAAAUAACCUUUGCGCAAUUAAGAAGGAAACUGCACAUACAGAGGCAACUUUAAAACAAAUGUCAGUGUCAGAGGCUAGGUCCAAGAACAGAGCUGUCAUCCUGGCAGCACAUCUUCCUGUCUUCCUGGGGCUCUGCCUGCGCUAUUCGAGUCACCUGUGGCUUCAGCUGUUUCCGGUCUGCAAACCGGAGAUGUUACAGGUGCUAACAACUUGGGUUUCAGGCAGAGUUCUUGGCUAAAAUCACGAAAGCUAAUCUGACUGACUUCAUCAAGAUGGAGGUUGGGUGGGUGGGGAGACAGAGACACAGAGAAACAGACAGACACAGAGACACAGACAGACAGAGAUAGGGAGAGAGAGAGGGAGGGAGAGAGCAUGCACAAGAGUUGAUAGCAUUACUAUGCAGAAGAACCACACCUGAGCACAAGCCGAAUGACCAUGGUAGAGGAACGGGUGACUCCUGGUGUGGAUGCUGUUCUGUGUGUGGACUGCACCUCAGGGAAGACGUAGCAUAUAGAACGACAUGCACAAAGAGGCUCCUUCCUGCAAAUGUUAAGCCAGCAUGUCAAGUGUUGCAGCCUCCACAACCAAGGCACAUCACCCCAUGGUUUAAACCUCCAGAUGCAGGUGAAAUUCAGCUAUGGGAGGACUUCGGAGGAAUUGAGAUCAGGCAUUUCUUUUGGGUGGCACUAACCCUGGGCUGGGGCGGGGGGGGGGGCGAGUUCUGGGGUCUUGGGUUUUGAUGAGCAAUAGUAAGUACUGUUAUUUUUGUGAAACUGAUCAAGUGCGUACAGUUUGUGCAGUCUUAUGACUGUUGUGUUUCAUACAAAGAAUACUGUGUAGACAGGGAAGCUAUGCCUACGAAAUCUCAAACAAUAUGACUGCGUAGAUAAGACCUGAGCAAUGACAACAACUGUAAUAGUAUCUUUUAUUCACCUGAUAUAAUUGUGGUCUUGGAGGCUUAGUAAGAAUCAGUCUGCUAACCUGGACCUAGUUCUGGAAGCUUCUAGCCUCUAUACAAUCUUAUCUAGGCCUAGAAUGUUUUCAGCCUCUGAGAAUUACUGCUUAAUAAGCUCACCCUCUCUAGCUCUUUCUGAACUGAGGCUGGCUGGUCAGUUCAGCUGUCCUGGCUCAACACUUCUUUCCUUGCUGGUUGAUUAUAUCUGGCCUCUCUUGGCUUCUGAAUUGCUCUGCUUGGCCUCAUAUUAACUUUGGCAAUCUGUUCUUCAUUCUGUCUUCACCUGUGUCUACCUUGUUCUCUCUCUGUAACCUGUCUCUGUGUAGCUCUCCUGGUAAAACUGCCUCCUCUGCACUGCUCUCUCUUAAGUCACUUCCCUUUCCCCUCUGUUCUCGGGAAAGUUGGACAAACCUAUUCUGUUAAAUCUUCCUCUGAUUCAUCACUUUGUCUGCCACUCAAUUAGACAUCACUUCCAAACAUGGCUGUUUCUUUCUGCGAACUAACUUCACCUUCUUCCUUUGGGAUUAAAAAUGUGUACUAGGGGCGUGUCUGUAUUCCAGCCAGAGGGAUUAAAGGUGUGUGUGCUCAGGGUGAGCCGCACCGCAACUAGAAAGAGUUUUUUUCCCCCAGUAAACAACACAAUGUCAGGGUUCACGGUGUGAUCAAGUAUCCUGCAACAAACAACAGUCAAUAUGCAAGCAUGGAUGGGAAAAGAAUCUCACAAGGCCCAAGCAUAGGUGAAGAGUUUUAGGCAAUUAGUGACACAUGAGAAUGGGACAGUUAGUCUUCCCCUGGGAUGAGCCCCAUAAUUGAUUAUCCAAUAUGAAAUGAACACUAUGCGUAUGACCGUCCACCUUGAACGUGUCCAAUCUCAUCCAAUUCCCAACAGUCUGCCCUUAAAACACAUGCAUACAAGCAACACGACAUACAUUCAGCAGGCAAACUGUUACAAGUUUACAUGUGUAUAGAUUUGUGUUACAAUAACAGAGAAAGAAACUAUACGUUUGAGAGGAAGUGGGUUGCAUACAAGAAGUUGGAGGGAAUGAAAUUCUUAAAACUAUUCUUGGAAACAAGUGCUAUGUUUUUGUGUAAAAGCAAGGCUGAGGGCUUCUAUGUGAGCAACAUUCAAGAGAAUGUCCUCUGAGACACCUGCUGUACAUCAAUUAUAGCACAGCUCACAGGUCUCUCCUGCUCGCACACACUGUUUCCAUCCUAACAUCACCCUCUGAUUCUAACUCUGACACGGGUACGCACAACUGUGUGGUAGAGGCUACAGUCUUUGGACUGGUGUCUCAAAUUCUCUUUGACUCCUAUAUUAGGAAGCUACGUGGAGACUAUAACACAAAAAGGUCAGUGUCUCAGCAAGUGGUCAAGGUUAAAUAAAUGACUUCCUCCACAGCCAUGGGGCUGGAAUCUUCUUCAUCUGACUCUUGUGAAAUCAUAUUUGCUUCCAGGUAUGUAGCAACUUAGAAGAGGCUAUCAGGUAAGUCUUUGUCUCAUAAAAGGUCUAGAAGACAGUCACUGGUUCUGAGUCAGAGCACAGCGGCAGUGGACGUCUGCUAGCUGCUGAAAAGCAUGCUGGGUGCUGGAGGAAGUCAUAUUGGGCCAUGAGAAUGGUCUAUUGCAAACACUAUCUGUGCAAAAAUUAUCUUAGCCUAGAUUUGGAACUGUUGUAAAACUAAUGGAAAGAGUGCCCAUCUACCUCACAGUCAGCCUCCCCUUCCCUGAGACUGUCUCAGUAUUGUCAGUUAGUCAGCCAACAGUGAAGCCUCACUAGAAACUGAAGCCCUAACUUCCCUCAGAUUCCUAACCUUCUUUUGUUCUGUUCCAGGAUCCCCUCCCAGAUUCAGGCUACAUUUAGUUGCCAUGGUUCCUCAGGACCUUCUUGUCUGCCUCGGUUCCUCUGACCUUCCCUGUUUUUGAUAAGCUUUAAAGAGUAGUGGUCAUUGUAGUAGUGAGAUUGUAGGUCUGAGGGAAAAGAACAAGAGAUGAAAGGGCCUCAUCGUCUCUUAUAAAGGGCAGUAAACUUGCCAUCUGCCUGCACAGCUUGUCAGGCUGACCCACUGUAAAGCCACCCACACUCUUCGGAUAGGAGCUCCUUGAAAAGAGUGGAGAUGUAUGCACCGCCUCCUAGAAGGCAGCUGCAGCUACCCCAGGUUGACCUUGAACAAAGGAGGAGGUAACUCCCAAUUCUCUGUGACUCCAUCCCCCAGUGCUAGGACAACAGGUAAGCCCCACCUGUCCUACUUCCUGUGGUGUCUUGAAUCUGCACCCACGUGUAGCUGAUGGCUGUACACUAGCUCUCAAAGGAGGGCGCAGGCACUUUGCAAUUUCCAAAGUGGGGUUUGAUUACACCAAUAUUUCAGAUAUUUCAAACAUUUGAUAGCUGACUUUUAUGGAAGGUUUUCAACUUAUAAAAUUUUACUUAUAACGACAUGAAUGUGAUCUUUAUCGUAAUCAAUCCUGAAAGAGAAAUGAAUACACGAAGGGACCACCCUGGCUUAGUUUUACUACUAUGAACAGACACCAUGACCAAGGCAACUCUUAUAUAGGACAACAUUUUAUUGGAGCUGGGUUACAGGUUCAGAGGUUCAGUCCGUCACCCUCAAGAUGGGAACAUGGCAGCAUCCAGGCAGGUAUAAUGCGGGGGGUUGUGGGGGGAACCUGAGAGUUCUAUACCUUCAUCUAAAGUUUGCUAGUGGAAGGGAUGAGGGUCUUAAAUCUCACACCCACAGUGCCACGCCUACUUCAACAGGACCACGCCUUCUAAUAGUGCCACUCCCUGGGCCGAGCAUAUACAAGCCAUUACACACCUGCUAGGCAGAGAGGGUGUGGUAAGUCAUUUGUUCAGGAUUUCCAGGCUUCUGUGUUGUACCUCAUUCCAGUCUUGUGUUGAUCGAUGCUACCCAGGAUGGGAGCCACAGUCAUUACAAAAUUCUGUUUCUGACUACCUAGUUCUGAAUAAACUCCAACUUUUGUCCUAGAACCAAUAUAUGCUGCUUUUCUUGAUGUAUAUUCAAGCUGGUUAAUUUGCACCAUAAACAGCAUGCAUGGGUUGGCAUUUUCUGCAGUGUUCCUCAUUAAUGAGAGCAGACUCGAGGGAGGGACACAACUCUGCAGACCUCAACCUUAGGCCCAGAGCAGAUCUCCCGGACUGUAUUAAGGGUUUAGGGAAGAAAAGAAAAAGAAAAACAAAACAAAACUACACUGGUUGGAGGUCGGUUGUGGAGUGCUUUCUCUGCAUGCAGGAAGCCCCGGGCUUAUCUCCAGUACUACCCAAAGUAGGCAUGGUACUGGGCACCUUGAACCUGGGAGGGGAAGCAGGAGGAUCAGAAGUUCAAGGUCCUUGCCAGUGAGUCUGAGGCUAGCCUGAGACACAUAGGACUCUGGCUCAAAGCAACAACAAAACUCCACCUGAAAGAUCAGAAAAGUCGGCGGAGGGCAAGGUUAAAGUGAAGGCAAGCUACUGGAGAGAAAGAGGGGUAAAGCAAGCUACAGCAUUCUGCAUUCUGCAGAGACCUGAUGGGACGCCCUCCCUUUUCUGUGGACUUUUGGGUGGCCUUGAACUCAACAGAGAUGCCAAGUGCAACAGACACCUAGACUUCAGUUAAAAAACUUAACUUUAGUCAGCUAUCGUGAUGCAUGCCUUUAAUCCCAGCCCUCGGGAGGCAGAGGAAGGUAGAUCACUGAGAUCAAGGUCAGCCUAGUCUACAGAGUUGCAGGACAGCCAUAGGUACACAGAGAAGCCCUGUCUCAAAAGACAAUCGAACGAACAAACACCCUUAACCUUGCACUCUGUGGAGCCCAAGCCCUUGCCUGUGGCAACAAACUCUACUCCCAGCAACCCCAUCGCCCCAUCCCCCCUCCCAACACACACACACUCCACCCCCUGGGCACAGCAGACGCCUGAAUUCUUGGGCAUAAGCAGCAUCCUAGACAUGAGAAGAAUCUUAGAGAAGACCGAAAAGGUUAAUAAAUCCGCUGGCCGUUUUCCAGCCUUGGGUUACAGAAUCAACACAGCUGAAUUUUCGGAUAAGAGCGCCCAUUCUUCGUCUAGCUGUCAUCUCUGGAGACUAACCUUUGAUAUUUCAGACUUGGCUGGAAAUUAGUUAAUUGCUAGGCCUACUCACAUUACUAGGAAUGGAGAAAAAAAAAAGGAAGAAAGAAAAGAAAAGCACUUUGGAAAUACUGUUUGAAAAUAGCCCCGGGGCAGCAUGCAGAACUGUAUGGCUUUGAAGAGGAGUGAGCUGAGGUGCCCCACACCUAAUGAGCUCCAGCUCAACACGAAACACACUUGAGUGGGAUCUGGGAGGCUUUGUGGCACUCCGAUGCCUUUGAAAGACAGGACUGGUAUUCAAGUCAUGGGUGGGUAUUCAAGAGAUGGGUGGGUAUGUGCUUAUUUAAAAAUUACCAGGUUAAAGGGCAAAGUAGCUUCGGAUCCGCCUACUAAAGCCGUUUGCAUUUUUCAUUUCAUCAGCGCCUAGGGUUCUAACCCUGAAGGCAAAGCUUUCGUCUUCUUCCUACCCACCACGCUGCUGCACUGUGCUACCCAACUAGUAGGAGGCCCAGCUAGCAGCUACUUAGCUGCCUUAACAGUUUCCACUGCCUGAGACCCACAAGUGUAACCUGAGGACUGCAGCAUGUAACAGAUCACAUGAUUGGAUGGAGUGGCUAGAGGAUUUCAUAACAAACCACCUGAUUGGGUGGCUACAGAGGCUUUACUAUACCUAAAACGGGCUACCCCACUUUUUUUUUUUCACUUUAUUUAUUCAUUUGGGAGGAACUACACAUGUCACAGUGGAUCCCAAGGAUAGAAUUCAGGUCAUCUGGCUCAGCAGCAAGUGUCUUCACCAGCAGACCCCUCACAGGCAGCGUUUCUAACCCAGCACGCCCAUCGGCAAGGCAUGAACAACGGAGUAUUACGGAAGUUGACAUUAUUUCUCUCUAGACAUUCUUAAGAGUCAACAAGACUAAUUUUCUUACUAAGUGAGCCCAAGAAGUCUGGCUCUGUGGACACUCCUAGGGCACCUGUCAGCCAUCUGCCUCUAUGGGGACGGGUGGCAAGGAAGCAAAGUCUUUUGGUUUUGUUUGUUUAUUUGUUUUCUUUCUUUUCUUUUUUUCGGAGCUGGGGACCAAACCCAGGGCCUUGCGCUUGCUAGGCAAGUGCUCUACCACUGAGCUAAAUCCCCAACCCCAGUCUUUUGGGUUUUUUAAAAUGCUUGGAGGAGGUGGAGAAGAGGGCUCUAUGAAGUCCCCCUUUUCUUCAUCUUUCUGCAUCAAAACCACUCUUUCGGUGGUGAUGUUUUCCUAGGGUGUCUCUUUUUCCCACACUAGAGUAGUACACUGACGCACACUGCAGCAGAAAGCUGAUGGACAGAGAGUGACUGUAACUGAAUGUCCCAAGUAGAUGACAGCUAUGUGAGGCAGUCAUAGUAGGUUAAUAACCACUCUGUGGUUAUGCCUCUGGGACAUGGUGUCUUGUGCUGCUUAGAAUCACAGUCCCUCAGUGGAAGCUAUGGACACACAAGCUAUUUGGCAGCUGAUGGGCUACUGAUUAACUAGACUCCUGCUAGUUGAUUAGAAAGUAGAGAAUGAAGAAAGAUAUAAAAACCAAAAUAAAUAUUUUCUAUAUCUCUAUUUCAACCACAAACCACUUUAAGUAUUAAUAAGUAAUAAGGCAUCAUCUGUUUUUUUUGGGGGGGUAUAUUUUUGUUUGUUUGAGACAGGGUCUCAUUCUAUAGCCCAGGCUGUCCUAGAACUCUGUAGCCUAGGGUACCCUUAAACCUGCAGUAAUCCUCCUGCCUCAGUCUUGACUCUUGCCAGAGUUGGGAUUAACCAUGCCUACCUUGUUUUAAAUUUCUCUAGUCAUGUCAUAACCAGGAAAAAAAAAUCACAAUCGCUAAACUUGUAUACAGCACCAAGAGCACUCACUCCCAGUGAUACACUUCCUCUAACAAGGCCACGCCUCCUAUGCUUCCUACACCUCUAACAGCACCAUCAACUGGGGACCAAACAUCCAAGACUGCAAGGCACAUCUCAUUCAAACCAUUUAUACCCUCUCUGACUUACCCCAUCACAGUCACCCUCCAUAGGCCACUUCAGUAGCUCCUUGCCAUAGCUGACGAGUAUUGGACUGUUACAGCUCUCUGCCCUCAGUUGCUCCCCUGUUUGGCCCACUUUUGAGAUGGCUUCACUGGUUUCUGUGAGUUUAACAGUCUUUACCCACUGCUGUAUUCUGAGCACAUGCCUCCUACAUGCCCAAGAUAAUACCUCUGUGAUGCCUACUAAGUCUCACAUGUCACCCACUGUGCUCCCAGGUCCACAUCCUGCACCAGAGAGUCAUUAAAACCACACCCCUCCAGCUGCCUCCUUUGCUUCACUGUGGGCAUCAUUCCUCCAAGACAUUUCAGUCCCAAACUUAGAGAUAGUCAACACCAACGUCUCAAACUCUAAAGUGAUCUUUGAUCACAAUCUUCCACUCCUAGCCAUGAGAUAUACUUAAAGUUGGGUAGGCAAGGAGUCUUGCCUGAGGGGAUGGAGGAAAAUAUCAUCUGUGUCUUGGUGGCUGGGUCUCCAGAUGUCCUGAUGGCCCCUCAAGAUUAAAUGCCCUCUAUGCUGUGGUCCAGUAGUUGCUGCUGUAUUAGAAACUAAGGUAGCUGGUACUUUCUGAGCCACAACUAAUCCUUAAUGUUGAAGGGCCUGCAUCCUCAAAAGACCUCAGCCUUAUUAUAAUAAUUUGUUUUGAGUCCCCGUCCACCCCUUCCUUGUAGGCUAUUCAAGAGAAUCAUGGGAAGAAGCAUUCUAUUUUUUUUUUCUUUUUUUCGGAGCUGGGGACUGAACCCAGGGCCUUGUGCUUGCUAGGCAAGCGCUCUACCACUGAGCUAAAUCCCCAACCCCGGGAAGAAGCAUUCUAAAAGGGAGAUUGGAUCUGCUAUGAUUUGGAAAGGAAACCAAGGGCCACAUUGUCUCAUGAAUAUGCUAUUGCUUCAUAAAUAUCCAUAAAACAUCUUGAAAACUGGCAACCCAGAGCCCAGUGUGUUUUUAUCGCCAGUCGGUCCACCCUACUCUCUCCCUUUGUUGAGUCUCAGCUUACCCAGUUUACCCUGUAGAAGACAAGAACCAAGAAGAAACCUUCGCCUAGUAACGCAGCUGUAGAAAAAUUGCUUCCCAGCUACCUCACUGCCCUAGCCCUGGAACCAGCCAGCAGGAUCUCUCCAGCGGGAUCUCUGCAAGAGGCUACUGCCUCAACUUCCCAGGUGUCCCUCUGACCUCAUACCUUGACUCAAUGAGUCUGAUAAAGGUCAGACACAACCUGUCAUUUCUCCUGUCCAUCCCCUAGCCUUCCCCUCCUUCAGUAAAUUCAUUUUCUGGUCACCCAGAAAGCUGGGAGAGAGGUGUCCCUCAGUGCUCUCUAACCACCUGUCUACACUCUCACCUACUUCCUGCAUUCACAGGAGCCUCCUUAUCAGGUUUCAAAUAGCCAGACCCAGUCCUGCUUCAGGGCCUUUGCUAUGCCUGUUGCAACACACCAGGCAUCUGCAAGACUUCCUUCAGUCCCUUGUUACAUGUCACAGAGUCAGCAAGGCUUUAUCUGAAUUCCCUGUGUCUAAGAGUGGCCCUGCCAUAUUCAAGGCCCCCACUCUGCUUCAUCUUCCUGUGACCCGACUUACAGUAUAUUUACUGGCGGUGUUCCCCUGAACCAAUAACAUAUGUCCCAUAAGGACUCAGGCAUUACCCAGAACCAGACACACCCUCUGACCUCCAAUACUGUUACACAAAUAACAAUGGCUCCAGACAGCAAAAAGAAUGCUCACCUGGAGUUCAAGAUACUUGUGGUCAAAGCAGAUGGCCUGGAGCCUGGGACUGGGAAUUGUUGCCGGUGUCUUACCUGUCUUGUGGGACAUCAGAAAGGCUCAGACAUAAAAGCAAGCAAAAACAAAAGACAAACAAACAAACAAACAAACUCAAACACCCAACCCAUCAAAGAUAUGAAGCACAGAGCUCUGCUGAGUGCAUACAAGAAGAUGCCUCGUGCCCAAGUGCUGGUCCUCUGAGCCAUUGCAUUCAGUAGAAGCCCAAGCAGGGUGGGACAAAGGUCUUCCAGUAGGACACAGGACAUAAACACUGUGCGUCUGUUUGCUUAAGUAUUGUCUUAGAUGUCUUAGGUCACCAGGACAGCCCGGAUCAUGAGCCGGGUAUAUAUGCACUCUACUGCUGUCAUCAUGAGAGGGAGCCAUGCUCCUCACGGCCAGCCUGCCCACCUUACAGCGGCAGCUCCCAUUGCUUGCUCCUUUUCCCUGCCCUGACCCUAAUUGUCCGGAGCACACCUGCAUCAGCAACGGAGACGCAUAAUUGCAGCCAGGGUUGCAAUCCGACUCUGUAAAACAAGAGUUUCUCAAGCUUGUUUCACGCCCAGAGACAACAACGCAUACUUUCUUCUCUAGUUGAGCCGUGGAGAGUGCAACGGCCCUAGAGUGUCACAAUAGAUGAAACCGUGGGGGAACAAUAAGUCAAAGUGAAGCUCAGGCCUCCGAGAGAAAAGGGACUACUGUGUGCCGAGUGUCCCGAGAGAGCAAAGGAUUUGCCUUCGACAUUCUUUUAGACAAACGUGUGACGGAGCUCACAUUCUUUUUCUCUGGGGUAUGACGAUGUUUUGCAGAAGGAGAAAACAUUUAGGAGCUGAGUCAGUGCAGGGCUUCUUAGGGACAGACAAGCGUCAGUGGCAAAAGAGAGUUGGCAGUGCACACUGAGCUGCUGGGUGGGGGUGGAGUCAGGGGAUGGCAGGGGAUAGUAGGCAGGGCCUACUUCUUAUCUUUCCCGCUGUAGAACCGUUAAGAGUGCAGCAGGACGGGGUGAUCUGCACAGAACAUGCACAGCAAAUACCCGGGAUUCUCUUCGAUGUAAUGAGUCCGCCCACCACCAAGCGGUGACCAAGAGGCUUCGCAGCAGGGGUAUGCAGUGUGCCAGGCAGGCUGCUGAUCUGGGAGGUAACCAUGGAGACUGUAAACACUAUCCCUGACCUCUACAGCCGACCACCUGGUAAGGAAGACGGGCAGUUAAGAAAUGGGUUAGUGCUCUGCAAUGCUCAGUAUGACCACUGAUGGGAAUCUGAACUUCUGGUGGCUGUUACAGAGACAGCCUUCACUGUCACAUUCCCUCAGGGACAGCGCUGGGCUUUCCCUCCUCCCAGCUUCUCUGAUUCCUACAGAUUGUGGUUUACUUGCCCUUUUCCCCCCUUUGCUCUUUUGCUUUCCUGGCCUCCUGGCUCUCCCCUCUCCUGAGAUGGCCCAGCUCAGUCUGCUAGUCAUGUCUACUCUAGACUCUUCUAGAUGACUCUGCCUCCACCCUCAUUCUCCCUUCUAUCUAUAACAAAAACCUUAUCAUUACGAGCAAUUUUAUCCUCCUCCUCUUUUGUUCUUCAACCCAUACAAGAAAGAGCUUAUGCGGUUUUACAGUGAGUCCCUGGUCACCAUGGUGGAGAGUUUGGUAUUAGGCAGGCACUUAGUACCACUGGGCCUAUUGUGGUCUUUUGAGACUUCGGGGUCCACACGCAGUAACAUGUCUUCUAUAAGGACCUGCCGACUCCAGCGGGGCCACAAUUCCAAAUCCUUCCAAAAAGUUCAUCAACUGGAGACUAAACAUGAAAACACGGGCUGCCCAGGCAUGGUGGCUCCUUCCUUUAGUCCCAGCACUCAGGAGGCAGAGGCAGGCAGAUCUCUGGGUCCAAGGCCAGCCUACUCUACAGAGUGAGUUCCAGGACAGCCAGGGUUACACAGAGAAGCCCUGACUUGAAAAAUCAAAAGAAGGGUUGGGGAUUUAGCUCAGUGGUAGAGCGCUUGCCUAGUGAGCACAAGGCCUUGGUUUCAGUCCCCAGCUCCAAAAAAAAAAAAAAAAAAAAAAAAAGUAGGUGAAGAAAAAUCAAAAGAUACACACAUACACACACACACACACAUUAUGGAAGCUUAUGUGGAGCAUUCUCCCUCAAACCAUCAGUGUUGGAGCAAUAGUGAGAGUUCACAUCCUUAUCUACAGGCAUGAGGCGGAGAGAGGGGGGUGAGAAUUGGAAAUAGCAUGGGCCUUUGGAACCCUGAAGUCCACCCGCAAUGACACACCUCCACCAGGAAGACCACACCUCCUAAUUCUUCCCAAACAGUUUCAUCCACUGGGGACCAAGUAUUCAAAUAUAUGAGUCUGUGGGAGACAUUCUGAUGUAAACCACCGCUCUGACAUAGCUCUAAAGUUGGCCCUGCUUGCAUUUGCAAGCCCCUCCCUGCCACUACCCAUUCUUCACUCUUUAUGUUCCCAUUCACAACUACGGUAGCUCAUCCGGGUCUGUCAUGUGUCCUCAUGUGAUGUCAUAUCACCUAGUAACACAGCUGUAGUGAAAUCACUUCUCAGCUACCUCACUGCCCUUUCCUGGCUCACCACCAGGAUCUCUCCAGCUCUGCCCUCUGUAGAGGCCACUGCCCCAACUCCCCAGGUGUCCCUCGGGGCUGCUCAUACAUUGACCCAAUGAGUCUGAUAAGGGUCAAGCACAGCCUACCACUUUUUUCCUCCAACUCCUCCUAGCCUACCCUCCUUCAGGAAAUUAAAAUGCCCCUGGUCAUCCAGAAAGUCAACUGCAUUGCCUGGAUUUAUCCAAUUAUAUCCCACUCUAGUAAGUAAAUACAAACUGUAUUUAUGUAUCCUAUAAUUAUCAGCCAAUCAGUGUUGGACUCAUAAGGCGAAAACUGGGGAAAUUCUGACACUAAAGUGUCUAGAUUCUGAAAGGUCGGGGAACCUCAGAUAGUUUCAACAUAUGACAUCAUCUACACCUGUCCUUUGUUUGACUGUAUGCUUCUGUUAACCCUUUCAUUCACUCUUGGCAUCUUUCCCCUCAUGCUCCUGCCCUCCAAAGACAGAGUUCCAUGCUCCCCACACUGUGUCCUCAGGAAACCUCUGGGAGUGUCAGAGUAUUUUCAUAUUGCAGUAACUUAGUUAAUUUUUCUCCAGCUCAUUGCUCCUCUCUCAAUUUUUGGGCCUCUAGAAGAUGAAGAUUCCCUCAUCUCUGAAAUCCUAGCACGUUCUCACCUAUAGGGCUAUCAGCACGAACUUGUUUCAUGAAAGAAGACUAGUAAUACGGUAAAAUGUAAUAAUUUUCAUACCAACAACUGGAAGUGAGAUUGGUAUAUGGAUAAGUAAACUGUGGGGUUUCAGUUUCCCAAAAGAAAAUUAUUCGGCCCCCUGAAAGUGCUUUGUGUGACUGAUAUGUAAUGAUAGCCAAAGUUGUCUGCAUUUUCAAAAUAUAAUGGCUCUCAAUGCCUCAUUACCAAAGGAAUAUGAAAAUCAGCAUGCACACUGCUGAAUUAUUUUAAGAGCUAGGCAAACAGCACAGCCCUGAUCUUGAGUCAUCCUUAAACUCGUUUCUAGAAUAGUCUGAGGUAAACAAACUGGGAGGAGACCGGGACCUGGGCUGGUUCCGUGAGUGAGACACUACCUGGUUAUGUCAUCAUCCAAAGAAUUACCAGGGACAUGCACUGUUCCUCUCUCCCAAGCAGCUUCUCCUAGCUUUAGAAGUAGACCCUAUUCUGCAAACACAACUGAAAGAGAUCUUUGGGAGAAAAGAAAGCCUGGAUAGAAGCCAGCAACCUCUGAGAAUGAUUGCUACAGAUAGCCAAUUGCCACAGAUAAUCCAGAGUUUACACAUGGGAACAGGCCGCCUCAUCUAACCUCGGGGGAUCUUACAACCUGAAUUUGCAAACUGUAGAGUUUGCUCUGGAGUUCAUAAAGUCUUCUAAUUUGUAAAUACAUUUUGAAGGAAGAAAGAAAUCCUGUGACAGAAAGCAUCACGUGUGUCACUUCCCUUAAUAGCUCAUGUACUUUAAGCUUAGCCCCGCGCCCAUCGGGAACAUUUGCAUAUUUCAGUUGUGUUUAUUUAUAACCUAGGUGUGGGUAUGGGGUAAGAUACCGUGUUAUAAUACACUUGAUGCUUCCACAGGAGUUGCCCCAAACUAAGCCAACGUUUCUUCCCAGCCCUGACUUUGAAAAGUACAUCUUGUCACAUUGUGAUAAAUUGUCACUGCAGUGUCAGAGAAAGGCUAAGCAGAAGUAGCUUCCCCCACUCUCCCUUCAGCAAAUCCUCUGUGUGGCAAAGUGAAUCAACUCUUUGUACCUCUGUAACCUUGAGAGAAGAGAGGCUCCAGCUGGAGUCUUCCCAAGAAGUCUCCAGAACAGUUUUAGAAACAUCUUAAGAUGAAAUAUUGCUGUUAACUUAAAAAAAAAAAAAAAGAAAGAAACUGUAUAGUUCAGGGUAGAACAUAUCUAAAAAUAGGUGUUUGGUGAACAACUUUCUGUCCCUAACACUGAGUCUGUGUGUGCGCACACACCCAUAGGUGCCCCUGUGUAACAUCCACACUGCAGGGAAAUACUAACUAGUUCAGAAGAUUCAAAAGGAGGCCUUUGGUGAAAUUCUUUGUAGUAUUUAAAUUUUGUCAUCAUCAGUAGUAGGUGUGUGUGUGUGUGUGUGUGUGUGUGUGUGUGUGUGUUCAUGUUCUACAGUGUUUUACAUGUGGAGAUGAAAGGGUCACUUUGGGGAUGAAACAACUCAGGUCAUCAGGAUGGGCAGCAAGCAGCUUUAUCUGCUGAGCCAUCCUGCUACCCCUGGCAGAGUUCUUUUAUAAAAACAUUAAAAUUUAAAUGUUUGUCUAAAUGUUUUCUAGAAAAUUGUAUAUAAUAAGGCCUCUGGGUUCCCGUAGAGGAGGGCCCAGGAGCAGCAGGACCGCUGCGUCUGAGACACCGUCAGAACCUGAAGAGACCUACCGGAAAAUUGUAUAUAUAGGGAAAAUUGUAUAUACAGGGAAUUUGAUUCAUAAAGGCUAAACUUCCAGAAAGCAUAUAAAAUAUCUAGAAAAAUGGAUAGAACCUUUUAUAUUUGGAACAGAAGCAUUUAAAGAUGUUUUGUAGGGGCUGGAGAGAUGGCUCAGCAGUUAAGAGUACUGACCUGAGUUCAAUUCCCAGCAACCACAUGGUGGCUCACAACCAUCUGUAAUGGGAUCUGAUGCCCUCUUCUGGUGUGUCUGAAGACAGCGACAGUGUACUCACACACAUGAAAUAAAUAAAUAAACAAAUAAAUCUUUAAAGAUGUUUUGUAAAAUGCACUAGACUAAUGAUGGCUGAAACAAUUAAUAGACCAUUAUCAUAUACCUAACAGAGAAGGCUUCCAAAACUCCCAACACAAAGAAAUGGUGGAUGUCUGUGUGACCAGUUAUCACAAUCUGUUCUUUAGCCAUUGAUUUGAAAUGUCACAUUAUACUGCACAAAUACAAACAAACAGGGUAGGGGAUGCGGCUCAGUUAGUAAAGUGCUGGCCUAGCAUGCAUGAAGCUCUGGGUUCCACACCCAGCACCACAAAAAGCAGGCAUGUUGGCACAAGUCUGUAAUCCUGGCUCUCCACACACAGGGGCAAGAAAAUCAAAAGUCGAAGGUUGUCUUCAGUUACUGAAUGAGUUAGGAGCCAGCCUGAACCACAUGAGGUUCUGCCCUGCCUCAGACGAUCAAAAGGAAAGAUUAAAAGAAUGAUAUGAGGAAUGUGUUUCUUUUCAGGACUGCUCACCACGGGCAAGUUUAAUUUAAUGAGAUGCCGAGGCUGUGCCUCGUUUAGUUUCUGCCUAGAUAAUGUUUUACUUUGUGGAGGCACAGUCUUCUCUUUAGGGGAAAUGAACCCAGGCAAACCUAAGGUGUCUCUGUGUGAAGCGAGUGCAUAAAGAGGCAUAGAAGGUGCUCUUUUUAGCUCCAAUGGGUUUGUCAGUUACUUUGAAUUAUGGAACUAAACAAAAUACAAAAGUAGCUAAGAGACAAAAAAAAAUUAUCCACAGAGGGUUUGUGGCUACGCCACUAUACAUUUAAUGGCCAUGUAAAUCUAGACUCUGUGAUGGCUUAAAUUGAUUAUCAACUUGCAGGAUCUAGGACUGUGGUGGACACAUAUCUCUUGGCUGGUCAGGGAGGAAGUUUCCAGAGUAGAUUGGCUGAGAUGGGAAGACCCUACACAUGGGUGGCACCAUUCCUUGGUUUGAGCCUGGGAUGGAAUUGAAGGAAGCAAGUCAACCAGAUGCAUUCCCACAUUCCUGAACUCCUGACUCCAUCCUUUCUGUCUGUACAGAUGAGGUCAGCUCCCUCAAGCUCCUGCUGCCGUGUCCUCCCCACCCUGUCUGCACCCUUGAACAGUGAGCCACAGGAAAGCCUUCAUCCCUUAAGCUGCUUUUGUGGAGUAUUUUGUUGCAGGAACUAGACAAGUGACUAAGCCACUCUCCUUGUACGUCUUGCAAAAGGAAGCGACAGCAGCAGCCAUAGAUAAGUCUCCCCAGCUUUGGCGUGUUCCUGAACUAAGAUCCCACCUAAUGAGAAUUCGAUUGUCCAGAAGAUGCUGGAAGAAAACCAACUGUGUCUGGAUAUAUGAAUAUAUGUAUAUAUGUUGUAUAUAUGUAUAUGUGUAUAUGUAUGUGUAUAUGUGUUUAUAUAUGUAUAUAUGUAUGUAUAUAUAUCCCACCCUAGUAAGCAAGUAAAUAGAAACUAUAUUUAUAUAUCCUAUAA